rnacentral:rRNA from 1 species
AGAGUUUGAUUAUGGCUCAGGAUGAACGCUAGCGACAGGCUAACACAUGCAAGUCGAGGGGCAGCAUAAAAGUAGCAAUACUUGGUGGCGACCGGCGCACGGGUGAGUAACGCGUAUGCAACCUACCUAUCAGAGGGGAAUAACCCGGCGAAAGUCGGACUAAUACCGCAUAAAACAGGGGCACCGCAUGGUGAUAUUUGUUAAAGAAAUUCGCUGAUAGAUGGGCAUGCGUUCCAUUAGGUAGUUGGUGAGGUAACGGCUCACCAAGCCGACGAUGGAUAGGGGAACUGAGAGGUUGGUCCCCCACACUGGUACUGAGACACGGACCAGACUCCUACGGGAGGCAGCAGUGAGGAAUAUUGGUCAAUGGGCGGGAGCCUGAACCAGCCAAGUCGCCGUGAAGGAAGAAGGAUCUAUGGUUCGUAAACUUCUUUUGCAGGGGAAUAAAGUGCAGGACGUGUCCUGUUUUGUAUGUACCCUGAGAAUAAGGAUCGGCUAACUCCGUGCCAGCCGCCGC